rnacentral:rRNA from 1 species
UGAAUACGAGACGCUAAGGCGUCGAAGUAGUGUAUGUCAUACUUCCAAGAAAAGCUUGCACUGUCAUAGAUAAAAAACGCCUGUACCAUAACCGACACAGGUGGGUAGGUAGAGUAUACUAAGGGGCGCGAGAUAACUCUCUCUAAGGAACUCGGCAAAAUAACUCCGUAACUUCGGGAGAAGGAGUGCCUUAUUCGUAAGGUUGCAAUAACAAGAUCCAAGCAACUGUUUAUCAAAAACACAGGUCUCCGCUAAGUCGUAAGACGAUGUAUGGGGGCUGACGCCUGCCCAGUGCCAGAAGGUUAAAGAAGUUGGUUAGCAAUUGCGAAGCUGAUAACUGAAGCCCUGGUGAACGGCGGCCGUAACAAUAACGGUCCUAAGGUAGCGAAAUUCCUUGUCGGGUAAGUUCCGACCCGCACGAAAGGCGUAAUGAUUUGGAUACUGUCUCGGAGAGGGGCUCGGUGAAAUAGACUUGUCUGUGAAGAUGCGGACUACCUGCACCAGGACAGAAAGACCCUAUGAAGCUUUACUGUAACUUGAAAUUGAAAUUGGACUUUAUUCGCGCAGUAUAGGUGGGAGGCGUUGAUUAUAAUCUUGUGGGAUUAUUGGAGCCAUCAGUGAGAUACCACUCUUGUAAUGUUAGAUUUCUAACUUUGAAUCAUUAUCUGGUCAAAGAACAGUUUCAGGCGGGCAGUUUGACUGGGGCGGUCGCCUCCUAAACGGUAACGGAGGCGUACAAAGGUUUCCUCUGAACGGUUAGAAAUCGUAUCUAGAGUGUAAAGGCAUAAGGAAGCUCACUGUGAGACCUACAAGUCGAGCAGGGACGAAAGUCGGUCUUAGUGAUCUGACGGUACUGAGUGGAAAGGCCGUCACUCAACGGAUAAAAGUUACUCUAGGAUAACAGGCUGAUCUCCCCCAAGAGUUCACAUCGACGGGGAGGUUUGGCACCUCGAUGUCGGCUCAUCGCAUCCUGGGGCGGUAGUACGUCCCAAGGGUUGGGCUGUUCGCCCAUGAAAGCGGUACGCGAGCUGGGUUCAGAACGUCGUGAGACAGUUCGGUCCAUAUCCGGUGUAGGCGUUAGAAUAUUGAGAGGAGCCUUCUUUAGUACGAGAGGACCGAGAAGGACAUACCUCUGGUGUACCAGUUAUCGUGCCAACGGUAAACGCUGGGUAGCUAUGUAUGGAGUGGAUAACCGCUGAAAGCAUCUAAGUGGGAAGCCCACCUCAAGAUAAGUGUUCUCA